GAGCUGCACUCUUCUGUGGAAGGAGCUCUCCGACCACUUUUCCUCCCUGGAGCGCGACCUCCAGCUUAAGUCCGAGUCCCUCCGUUCCAAGCGCCAGUCCCUCGACCUCUCCACCCAGCGCUCCCUCGCCUCCCUCCACCACCGCGAGCUCUCCAUCGAUGGCGCCGUGGACCUCGCCCUCGCCAAGGUCAACGAGCGCCGCGAUGCCGCCCUUCUCGCGCUCUCUUCCCCCGCCUCCCCCCUUGACAGUAAUAACGGCAACGAUCUCCCUGGCAAACUCCGAUCUUUCUGCACGACGAUGGACUCUGACGCCUUCUGGGAACUCGUCGUCUCCAAGCGCAAGGAGGUCGAGCUCCUCCGAUCGGAGCUUCCGCUGGCUCUCG
rnacentral:lncRNA from 1 species